rnacentral:rRNA from 1 species
UACGGAGGGUGCAAGCGUUAUCCGGAUUCACUGGGUUUAAAGGGUGCGUAGGCGGGCAGGUAAGUCCGUGGUGAAAUCUCCGGGCUUAACCCGGAAACUGCCAUGGAUACUAUUUGUCUUGAAUACUGUGGAGGUGAGCGGAAUAUGUCAUGUAGCGGUGAAAUGCUUAGAUAUGACAUAGAACACCAAUUGCGAAGGCAGCUCACUGCGCAGUGAUUGACGCUGAGGCACGAAAGCGUGGGGAUCAAACAGG